rnacentral:lncRNA from 1 species
AAGAUAUAGUAUGAAACUGAGAACACAACUUAUUUAACGCAAUGAGAUAUGGAUGUCCCAACUAACAAUGUGCUUUAAAUAAAGAGAUCUCACUAGAGUAGGCAAGUGGUCGAGACACCCAACUAUCAAGAAUGUAAAGACCUUCUGAUACAUGUCAUUUACCAAUAAUUUGCUUUGUAGUAAAAUCCUGAAAAAGAUAAUGAUCAGGGAAGAAUGAUAUACAACAAUUAAAUUCUUUGGU